rnacentral:snRNA from 2 species
UAUCUCUUCAGAUACCUUUUUGAAGUUGGACCAAUGCAGAGGAGAUUAACAUGGCCCCUGCACAAGGAUGUCAGGUUUAAUUGAGAAAAGGUCCAUUUUUUG